CCUACGGGAGGCAGCAGUGAGGAAUAUUGGUCAAUGGGCGAGAGCCUGAACCAGCCAAGUCGCGUGAAGGAUGACGGCCCUACGGGUUGUAAACUUCUUUUGUCAGGGAGCAAUUGGGUCCACGCGUGGGCUUAGCGAGAUUACCUGAAGAAAAAGCAUCGGUCAACCCCGUGCAACCAGCCGCGGUAAUACGGGGGAUCCGAGGUUUAUCCGGAUUUAUUGGGUUAAAGGGUUGCGCAGGCGGAGUAUCAAGUCAGCGGUAAAGACUCGGGGCUCAACCCCGUCGUGCCGUUGAAACUGGUGGUCUUGAGUGGGCGAGAAGUAUGCGGAAUGCGUGGUGUAGCGGUGAAAUGCAUAGAUAUCACGCAGAACUCCGAUUGCGAAGGCAGCAUACCGGCGCCCAACUGACGCUGAAGCACGAAAGCGUGGGUAUCGAACAGGAUUAGAUACCCCAGUAGUC
rnacentral:rRNA from 1 species